rnacentral:rRNA from 1 species
CUGGCGGCGCGCCUAACACAUGCAAGUCGAACGAGCGAGAGAGAGCUUGCUUUCUCGAGCGAGUGGCGAACGGGUGAGUAACGCGUGAGGAACCUGCCUCAAAGAGGGGGACAACAGUUGGAAACGACUGCUAAUACCGCAUAAGCCCACAGCUCGGCAUCGAGCAGAGGGAAAAGGAGCAAUCCGCUUUGAGAUGGCCUCGCGUCCGAUUAGCUAGUUGGUGAGGUAACGGCCCACCAAGGCAACGAUCGGUAGCCGGACUGAGAGGUUGAACGGCCACAUUGGGACUGAGACACGGCCCAGACUCCUACGGGAGGCAGCAGUGGGGAAUAUUGCACAAUGGGGGAAACCCUGAUGCAGCGACGCCGCGUGGAGGAAGAAGGUCUUCGGAUUGUAAACUCCUGUUGUUGAGGAAGACAAUGACGGUACUCAACAAGGAAGUGACGGCUAACUACGUGCCAGCAGCCGCGGUAAAACGUAGGUCACAAGCGUUGUCCGGAAUUACUGGGUGUAAAGGGAGCGCAGGCGGGAAGACAAGUUGGAAGUGAAAUCUAUGGGCUCAACCCAUAAACUGCUUUCAAAACUGUUUUUCUUGAGUAGUGCAGAGGUAGGCGGAAUUCCCGGUGUAGCGGUGGAAUGCGUAGAUAUCGGGAGGAACACCAGUGGCGAAGGCGGCCUACUGGGCACC